GACAGGGAGGGGCAAGCGUUGCUCGGAAUCACUGGGCGUAAAGGGCGCGUAGGCGGGAUGGCAAGUCGGUCGUGAAAUCCUCGGCUCAACCGAAGAACGUCGGCCGAUACUGCCGUUCUUGAGGGAUGCAGAGGAGAUUGGAAUUCCCGGUGUAGUGGUGAAAUGCGUAGAUAUCGGGAGGAACACCAGUGGCGAAGGCGACUUCCUGGCCUGUUCUUGACGCUGAGGCGCGAAAGCUAGGGGAGCGAAACGGG
rnacentral:rRNA from 1 species